CUCGUAGGUGGCCAACUAAGUCAGACGUGAAAUCCCUCGGCUUAACCGGGGAACUGCGUCUGAUACUGGAUGGCUUGAGUUUGGGAGAGGGACGCGGAAUUCCAGGUGUAGCGGUGAAAUGCGUAGAUAUCUGGAGGAACACCGGUGGCGAAGGCGGCGUCCUGGACCAAUACUGACACUGAGGAGCGAAAGCCAGGGGGAGCAAAACGG
rnacentral:rRNA from 1 species